AGAGUUUUGAUCCUGGCUCAGGAUGAACACNAGAGGGAUGCUUACCAUGCAGUCGACGGAAUCUUCGGAUUUAGUGGCGGACGGGUGAGUAACGCGUGAGAAUCUAGCUCUAGGUCGGGGACAACCACUGGAAACGGUGGCUAAUACCGGAUGUGCCGAAAGGUGAAAGAUUAAUUGCCUAGAGAUGAGCUCGCGUCUGAUUAGCUAGUUGGUGUGGUAAGAGCGCACCAAGGCGACGAUCAGUAGCNGGNCNGAGAGGANGANCAGCCACACNGGGACUGAGACACGGCCCAGACNCCNACGGGAGGCAGCAGUGGGGAAUUUUCCGCAAUGGCGAAAGCCUGACGGAGCAAUACCGCGUGAGGGAGGAGGCUCUUGGGUUGUAAACCUCUUUUCUCAGGGAAUAAGAAAGUGAAGGUACCUGAGGAAUAAGCAUCGGCUAACUCCGUGCCAGCAGCCGCGGUAAUACGGAGGAUGCAAGCGUUAUCCGGAAUGAUUGGGCGUAAAGCGUCCGCAGGUGGCACUGUAAGUCUGCUGUUAAAGAGCAAGGCUCAACCUUGUAAAGGCAGUGGAAACUACAGAGCUAGAGUACGUUCGGGGCAGAGGGAAUUCCUGGUGUAGCGGUGAAAUGCGUAGAGAUCAGGAAGAACACCGGUGGCGAAAGCGCUCUGCUAGGCCGUAACUGACACUGAGGACGAAAGCUAGGGGAGCGAAUGGGAUUAGAUACCCCAGUAGUCCUAGCCGUAAACGAUGGAUACUAGGCGUGGCUUGUAUCGACCCGAGCCGUGCCGGAGCCAACGCGUUAAGUAUCCCGCCUGGGGAGUACGCACGCAAGUGUGAAACUCAAAGGAAUUGACGGGGGCCCGCACAAGCGGUGGAGUAUGUGGUUUAAUUCGAUGCAACGCGAAGAACCUUACCAAGACUUGACAUGUCGCGAAUCUUCUUGAAAGGGAAGAGUGCCUUAGGGAGCGCGAACACAGGUGGUGCAUGGCUGUCGUCAGCUCGUGUCGUGAGAUGUUGGGUUAAGUCCCGCAACGAGCGCAACCCUCGUUUUUAGUUGCCAGCAUUAAGUUGGGCACUCUAGAGAGACUGCCGGUGACAAACCGGAGGAAGGUGGGGAUGACGUCAAGUCAGCAUGCCCCUUACGUCUUGGGCUACACACGUACUACAAUGCUACGGACAGAGGGCAGCAAGCUAGCGAUAGCAAGCAAAUCCCGUAAACCGUAGCUCAGUUCAGAUCGCAGGCUGCAACUCGCCUGCGUGAAGGAGGAAUCGCUAGUAAUUGCAGGUCAGCAUACUGCAGUGAAUUCGUUCCCGGGCCUUGUACACACCGCCCGUCACACCAUGGAAGCUGGCAACGCCCGAAGUCAUUACUCCAACCAUUCGUGGGGGAGGAUGCCUAAGGCAGUGC
rnacentral:rRNA from 1 species